rnacentral:rRNA from 1 species
GAUGAACGCUAGCGAUAGGCUUAACACAUGCAAGUCGAGGGGCAGCAUGGUCUUAGCUUGCUAAGACUGAUGGCGACCGGCGCACGGGUGCGUAACGCGUAUGCAACUUGCCUCACAGAGGGGGAUAACCCGUCGAAAGACGGACUAAUACCGCGUACACUUGGGAUAGGGCAUCCUGACCCAAGGAAAUGAAAUUCGCUGUGAGAUAGGCAUGCGUCCCAUUAGCUAGUUGGUGAGGUAACGGCUCACCAAGGCGACGAUGGGUAGGGGAACUGAGAGGUUGAACCCCCACACUGGUACUGAGCCACGGACCAGACUCCUACGGGAGGCAGCAGUGAGGAAUAUUGGUCAAUGGGCGAGAGCCUGAACCAGCCAAGUCGCGUGAAGGAUGACUGUCUUAUGGAUUGUAAACUUCUUUUAUACGGGAAUAACAAGAGUCACGUGUGGCUCCCUGCAUGUACCGUAUGAAUAAGCAUCGGCUAACUCCGUG